AUACGGAGGGUGCAAGCGUUAUUCGGAAUCACUGGGCGUAAAGGACGCGUAGGCGGGUUGGCAAGUCAGAUGUGAAAUCCUACAGCUUGACUGUAGAACUGCAUUUGAAACUGCUAACCUAGAGUAUGAGAGGGGGAGAUGGAAUUAGUGGUGUAGGGGUAAAAUCCGUAGAUAUCACUAGGAAUACCGAAAGCGAAGGCGAUCUCCUGGAACAUAACUGACGCUAAGGCGUGAAAGCGUGGGGAGCAAACAGGAUUAGAAACCCUAGUAGUCC
rnacentral:rRNA from 1 species